rfam:Physcomitrella patens subsp. patens PHYPAscaffold_98 genomic scaffold, whole genome shotgun sequence.
AAAAAGGGUCGGUUGGUUAUAUAUACCACGCAGGUCUUCGGACCUGAGCUGUAUGGACUAUCAAGACAUAUGGCCGACAAAAUUUUUGUGACCUUAUAGGGUUGGCACGCUUUGCCGACCCUUCC